UAGGGCAAGCAGAAUAUGGCACACACAGGCAGCAUAGGGCAGGCAGAGUAUGGCACACAGGCAGCAUAUGGCAUAUCUGAUACACUGAAUUCUGUACCAUCCUACUACCCAAAUAAAAUUAAGUUAUUAAAAAUAAUGCCUUGUUAAAAUAGGAUAAAAUAUAUUCUCUUCUUGAAUUUUCCUACACUACACAUGUAUUAUAAAAAAUAAAUGUGCCCCCUGUUGAAAUGAGGAUAUUAGACAUCACUUACAAAGCCUACAGCUUUGUCUCAGAACCAAAAUGCGUGCUUUCGCUUUUUUCAGCCAAUCACUGAUCUGUGUAACUGAGCUCAGGCCGACGCUGUGCCAAUCAAGGUACACACGGAAGCAGAUCCACUUCUCUCCACCAGAGUACAAAACACAGGCAGAGAGAAAAGGAGCGUAUGCCCUGUGUGCCCUCAGCCCAAGUAUUGGAAAACUUAUUAACAGUAUUAACAGUAUUAAUAUCGAACAAUAUUAAUUUGACAAACAAUAUUCUAGUAUAGAACAAACAAUUCCUGUUUGAAUGAGUUGCUCCAGCACACCUAGAGGGUGAUCAUACUGUAGAACACAGAAAACUAGUGUAGAACACUAGAAUGAUUUGGCUGUAACCCCCAGUUACACCAUUGCCAGCGUUGUCGCCCCACACUAACACGGUAUCCUGAGCUGCACUGACAAUAGUGCAAAGUGAUGAUGAGUUAAGUACUCCUAGGUACGAAACGCGUAAGGCUAAUUGUUUGUUUUUUAUGGAUUAAAUAAAAAAUGACUUUUUUAUGAACACUACUAGCUGCCUCCUAUGACUUUUUGACAUAUUUUUGGAUACCAGAAGUGCCUGCCUCCUGUUGUUUCCUUUGUAUACUCCUGUGUGGCUCCCUAAGCUGAAGGUCUGGGGCAUGAGCACCUGGACCCACCUAUCCUGGGGGUAAGACUCUACAUAUGCACUACAAAUUGCUAUUCCUGUGAAAAAAUUGAUAUAUUUGGCAAUAGAGCAAAGUACAAAGUCCCAGAGCAGGGGCCUGACCCAACAGCAAUUAUAUACAGUAUAAUAGCAUAUAUCCAGACCCUUGGCAGCCACACAACAGCAGGGUAAUAGCUUAGGCAAAUGUUAUAUACUGAGACACCCAAGAAAUAUGUAAAUUGAAACAACAAAUAGAGAGUCUGUGCCUGUCUUCCCCCCCCCCCAUGUUGAUCAACAAGUGAGAGGAACCUGGUAGCGCAAAUUCACCUGUGACAUGCGGCUCAUGUUUCAGGCCAACAAAGAAAUGUAAUAUAUAGGUUGAAAACAACAGCAGCCCACACUGAUGUGUGAGUCUGUAUCAUAUUUCUUUUUAACCCUUUCUUUGUCGUACUUAGGGCAGAUUAUGGUUACACCUGUGUUUCCUUACACUCUACAAUAAGCCUUUGCUUCUACCCUCUCUUUAAUACACGAGGGGUUAAAUGGCAUGAUUGGCAGAGCUAGUACUCCUACUACAGAACCCCAGGUAAACACUACACUGUCAGAAAAGUUUCAGCGAGCCUGUAUCUUUGGGGGCCCAUGGAGAGAAACCGGCUAAAGCACAGUAUUUAGGUCUAGUUUUUUUCCAGGCCCCAGUGUUCAGUCACCCCCUUCUAUCUCUAGCUCUGUUGCUGGAUUUAGCUUUAAUUGUCCGGCGGCAAACUGCCUCCCUAAAGCUGCUGGCCUAGGCAAAGCCAUCGGCUGCCUAUAUAGCAAAAACAGCCUUAAGGAAUCCAUGGGAUGCUGAGUCAAGAUGGCGGUGGCGCAUUCCCAAGGAAUAACAGGGUUAUGUAAUAAAAGGCACUUUGCCCAGGAGCAGUAACCCAUAGCAACAAAUCAGUAGGUAGAAUUUACUGCUGGGUUACUUUUACAAAUGUAGUUCAGUUUACUCCAUAUGUGGUUAAGUAUCAUUGCUGGACGUGAAACUUCUUUAAAGUGGACUUUUCAAUCCAUUUAAUAAUUAUUCCAAUUCCUCUUCCAUCAUGUUAAGUUAAGCACUUUAUUGCUAAAGUCAGCAAUAUAACAAGCCGGCGCCAGGCCCCCUGCGAAAAGGACCCAAACACACAACCACUUUUACUCAGCACAGCAACCCAUAUACCACCUGCACGCCCAUAGCCCAACCCCCCCCCCCCUUCCCUGUGUGCAAGUAAGGGUGCAGCUAGUGAGAGAGCAUCAAAAAAAUCACACACAUAAAAAAAGUAAUGUGGUAGCCAUAUUUUUGCUAUUUUGUGAGACAAAUUCGCUCAUCACUAGUGCAACAUGCAACAUUAAUACAAUCCAACCCAUUGGCCAUACCCUCAGAAAAAAAUACAUGGAAAGUAAGCAUGUGGUUUUUAUUAAAAUGUCAACAAUAUAUGUUCUGUUAUAUAAAAUGUUCCAUUUUAGUUGUACAUGCACACAUGUUAUGAAAACAGUAAUGGCAAACUAAUAUAUUGCAAGGUAUAAAGUUACGUAAGGACAUAAUUAACAGGUUUUUAUAGUACUUUUUGCAACAGUAAUUACUUUGUUAUAAUAUGUAUCAAUGUAUUUUUAUUGUUAGCCAAUAUAGGUAUAAUUUCUACAAUACUCUUGUAUUUGUGUUUUUUCUUAUUAUUUUUGACACUGGCUAACACGGUACUACAGUUUUUUGUUAUAGCAGCAAAUAAGAAUGAAUCUGUUGUCGAUGUCAUCCUCAAACAAAUUGACAGUAUUGAGAAGACAAUUUUGAAAAUAAUUAUACUUAUUGGGGUAUUCCUUGCUGCAACCAUAGCGGUUGGAGUCUUGAUAAUGUAAGUAAUAUUGCUUUUUUUUCUUGGUGGGGAAGAAAGGUGGAAACCUAACAUGCUUUAGAAUAUAGAUUGGAGGCCAACAAAAGUGUAUGGACGCUAAAUAUUUGAGCAAGAGCCAAUGCAAUCAUGUUUGAGCCUUUAAUAUAUCCUUAUAUAUGGCGGUUAGUGAUGUCGUCCCACUUCUUUCCUUGGAAUCAGUGUCUGGCCGUGUGCCUUUAUGGUCACGGAACUCCUAGGAGACUUCUAACAUGCUAACAUUUUACACAUAGAGGUUAUAGUUUUUCAUACAUGCAUAUGUGUUUUUUUUUCACAAAAAUGUAUAUAAUUAAACUGCUAUAAAAAUCUUGCAGCCAUUUUCUAAUUUGUUUCCUCUUUUUCUGCAGUAUUAUGUUUAGGAAAAAAAGCAACAACGGUGAUGAAGAAAAUCCAUCAAAAGGGAAAGAUGAAGAUGAUGAGAGCUCAUCUGGUGAAUCAGAAUAGAGUUCAGAAUCUUCUUCAUCGUAAAAGAAUACAAGUGACUACGCACCAUGAGAUGAUGAGGGAGGUGAGGAAGGGCAUGUAAAAUUAGAAUUCAGAAGCUUCACUGGAGACAAAACAGUAACUUAAACAAAUAACUUCUAAUCUGAAAGAAGAAGUUUUCAGUCCUGUGAUUGCUCUGAUUUGUCAUGUGACAAGGAGAAGAAGAGACAGAAUAGCUAAUCAAAUUAGAUAAUAAGAUCCUACAAAAUUAAGAGUAAAUGUUAUCUGGUGAGAAGAUAUGAGGAAUCAUGCAAUGAGGAGGAAGUUUGAUUUGAUCAUGUGAAAGAGUAAUCAUAUACCCAUAUGAAGGGGUAUCAUUAGAUGAUGAGGGAAGGAAGGAGGGUGAAGUAUAUAUUGAGAACAAAAAGAAUUUAGAAGCAUUAAAGAUGCAUUAAAGAGCUAAGUUUUUCUUCUAAUUUGUAUCAAUUCUCAUAAAAUAUUUUCAAUAAAUGUUUAAUAGUAA